rnacentral:rRNA from 1 species
UACGGGGGGAGCAAGCGUUGUUCGGAUUUACUGGGCGUAAAGGGCGCGUAGGCGGUCAGCACAAGUCAGUUGUGAAAUCUCCGGGCUUAACCUGGGAAUGGCAGUGGAAACUAGGGGACUUGAAUCUGGCAGAGGGGGGUGGAAUGCCACGUGUAGCAGUGAAAUGCGUAGAUAUGUGGCGGAACACCGAUGGCGAAGGCAGCCCCCUGGGCUGAGAUUGACGCUCAGGCACGAAAGCGUGGGGAGCAAACAGG